CACCGCGGUCAUACGAGUGUUAGCCCAAGCGGAUGACUAACGGCGUAAAGAGUGGUUAGGGAACCCCCCCCCCCCAACUAAAGUUAAACACCCACAAGGCCGUGAUACGCAUCCGAUGGAAUGAAACCCCACCACGAAAGUGACUUUACCCAGCCCGAACCCACGAUAGCUAAGAUA
rnacentral:rRNA from 1 species